AUAAUAUUAUAUUUGUCUCCGUUAAUUCAGCAAAGUAUUAGUUUCUACAUAUACAUUUUUGCAGCCACUUUGUAAAAUAAAUCUUCAAGUUGAGACUUAUUUACAGUGGCUGUCACUGACAUUUAAUAAUU
rnacentral:sRNA from 1 species